rnacentral:rRNA from 1 species
AACGAACGCUGGCGGCAUGCCUAACACAUGCAAGUCGAACGAGACCUUCGGGUCUAGUGGCGCACGGGUGCGUAACGCGUGGGAACCUGCCCUUAGGUUCGGAAUAACUCCCCGACAGGGGUGCUAAUACCGGAUAAUGUCUUCGGACCAAAGAUUUAUCGCCUUUGGAUGGGCCCGCGUUGGAUUAGCUAGUUGGUAGGGUAAAAGCCUACCAAGGCGACGAUCCAUAGCUGGUCUGAGAGGAUGAUCAGCCACACUGGGACUGAGACACGGCCCAGACUCCUACGGGAAGCAGCAGUGGGGAAUAUUGGACAAUGGGCGAAAGCCUGAUCCAGCAAUGCCGCGUGAGUGAUGAAGGCCUUAGGGUUGUAAAGCUCUUUUACCCGGGAUGAUAAUGACAGUACCGGGAGAAUAAGCUCCGGCUAACUCCGUG